UACGGAGGGUGCAAGCGUUAUCCGGAUUUACUGGGUUUAAAGGGUGUGUAGGCGGGCUUUUAAGUCAGCGGUGAAAUCUCCAGGCUUAACCUGGAAACUGCCAUUGAUACUAUAAGUCUUGAAUACCGAUGAGGUGGGCAGAAUAUGUCAUGUAGCGGUGAAAUGCAUAGAUAUGACAUAGAAUACCGAUUGCGAAGGCAGCUCACUAACCGGUCAUUGACGCUGAGGCACGAAAGCGUGGGGAUCAAAC
rnacentral:rRNA from 1 species